CAACACUAAAGCUCUUUAGCUAGUAAUAUAAGUACCAAUGGGACCAGAAGUGUUUGCGGUUUCAGAUUUUGUCUAAUGUUGGGAUGCGUGUAUUUGCAGUGUAGCUGCAUCCCUGGGUGUCAUAUUCUGUUUCCUCUGCAAAACAAAACAAAACAAAAAAACAAAACAAAACAGGGGCAGUGAAUCCAGUGUGUCAUCAAAGUGAUCAAAGAUAAAAGUCCGUUUUAACUCAAUGCAUUUUUAGGUACAGAGCAAAACUGCUCUUUGCUUUGGACUCCCUAGUGGAUGCUUCUCCCAUCUGCUUUCCCUGCAAGUGGAGGUUGAGGAAUUUGUUGACGCUCCCUGGCGAGGAAAUGGGUGGAAAGGGUUAUGUUUUUACUCAUCUAGACUGCCUUGCAUGCAGCGUUCUGCAUUCAUUUUCAUGAAUAGCAUCCCAGAACUUAGUCAAGAUUUCCAGCAUCCUGUUUGCUGCCACCACCGUGCCUUCCAAGGAAACUGACAGGUCAAGUUUUGUCAGAUUAUAAAAUUCAGCCCACAGAGGAGGACUCUCAUCUCCUGACAUUGAUCUCCUUGCAAAAUGCUGAUGGUUCCUGGUGCCUUGAUUCUGCCUUGGCCAGCAUUCUCAGCCUGGUUGAGGCUGACAUCUUGAGUAAAACACCUGCCCAGGUGAGUUUGUGGGCUUCAGUCUUUGCAUUUCGCUGAACCAAAAAUGUAACCACGUGGGAGGGGGAAAGUGAGAGCUAUGCUUUGCAAACAAGAGCCCUUCCAUGAAAUGUUCCUUCAAUAAUAAUCUUUCUAGC
rnacentral:lncRNA from 11 species